rnacentral:rRNA from 1 species
AGAUGGUGAACUAUGCCUGAACAGGGCGAAGCCAGGGGAAACCCUGGUGGAAGCCCGCAGCGAUUCUGACGUGCAAAUCGAUCGUCAAAUUUGGGUAUAGGGGCGAAAGACUAAUCGAACCGUCUAGUAGCUGGUUCCCUCCGAAGUUUCCCUCAGGAUAGCUGGAGCCCGGUGCAGUUUUAUCAGGUAAAGCGAAUGAUUAGAGGUCUUGGGGUCGAAACGACUUCAACCUAUUCUCAAACUUUAAAUGGGUAAGAUGUCUGGCUUGCUCGAUUGAAGUCGGACGUGGAAUGCCGGGGCUCCUAGUGGGCCAUUUUUGGUAAGCAGAACUGGCGAUGUGGGAUGAACCGAAAGCCGGGUUAAGGUGCCCGAAUCGACGCUCAGCA